rnacentral:rRNA from 1 species
UACAGAGGUCUCAAGCGUUGUUCGGAUUCAUUGGGCGUAAAGGGUGCGUAGGCGGCGCGGUAAGUCGGGUGUGAAAUCUUGGAGCUUAACUCCGAAACUGCAUUCGAUACUGCCGUGACUUGAGGACUGGAGAGGAGACUGGAAUUUACGGUGUAGCGGUGAAAUGCGUAGAUAUCGUAAGGAAGACCAGUGGCGAAGGCGGGUCUCUGGACAGUUCCUGACGCUGAGGCACGAAGGUCAGGGGAGCAAACGGG